GAAAUGCGAUAAGUAAUGUGAAUUGCAGAAUUCCGUGAAUCAUCGAAUCUUUGAACGCACAUUGCGCCCUCUGGUAUUCCGGGGGGCAUGCCUGUCCGAGCGUCAUUGCGAACCCCUCAAGCACGGCUUGUGUGAUGGGCCCUCCCGCGUCUUGGUCGUCAAGACGGGCCCGAAAAGCAGUGGCGGCUUCGCGGUUAUCCGAUCAGCCAGCGUAUGGGGACUUUCUCUCUGUCACACGCCCGCGGCGCGGACCGACGCCUGUCGACCUUUAUUCAUCUUUUUCUCGGUUGACCUCGGAUCAGGUAGGGAUACCCGCUGAACUUAAGC
rnacentral:misc_RNA from 1 species